CCAGACUCCUACGGGAGGCAGCAGUGGGGAAUAUUGGACAAUGGACCAAGAGUCUGAUCCAGCAAUUCUGUGUGCACGAUGAAGUUUUUCGGAAUGUAAAGUGCUUUCAGUUGGGAAGAAAAAAAUGACGGUACCAACAGAAGAAGUGACGGCUAAAUACGUGCCAGCAGCCGCGGUAAUACGUAUGUCACGAGCGUUAUCCGGAUUUAUUGGGCGUAAAGCGCGUCUAGGUGGUUAUGUAAGUCUGAUGUGAAAAUGCAGGGCUCAACUCUGUAUUGCGUUGGAAACUGUAUAACUAGAGUACUGGAGAGGUAAGCGGAACUACAAGUGUAGAGGUGAAAUUCGUAGAUAUUUGUAGGAAUGCCGAUGGGGAAGCCAGCUUACUGGACAGAUACUGACGCUAAAGCGCGAAAGCGUGGGUAGCAAACAGGAUUAGAUACCCUGGUAGUCCACGCUGUAAACGAUGAUUACUAGGUGUUGGGGGUCGAACCUCAGCGCCCAAGCAAACGCGAUAAGUAAUCCGCCUGGGGAGUACGUACGCAAGUAUGAAACUCAAAGGAAUUGACGGGGGCCCGCACAAG
rnacentral:rRNA from 1 species